CCCAUCGGGCGCCUAUGGAACUCGACCCGCAGGCCAAAGGGGCUCUGUUGCAAGGAAGAAGUGCGGGGUCCCGCCGCCUCCUAGACCGAGAUCGCGGUCCUGUCAUGCAUGAUGCCUUGCACAUGAUGGAUGCUCAGUUAACAUUAAUAGACAGGAGCCAGCUGGUCCACCGGAAGUGUGUGUUCUGCCUGUCCCUGCAGCACGGAGGGCUGGGCUUUAUACCUGUGCCAAGGACAGGUGGAUACCUGUAAUCAAGGGUAGCAGCAGCAAGCCUGUGUUGUCUCCCAAAUAGGUGGUGUUCUCCAACAAGCUUUUAGCAGUAAUAAAGCUGACAUUUUUAUUCUCA